rnacentral:rRNA from 1 species
AUGACCUUGGUCAAGGCAGCCCUUACGGCGGUGGCCAUUUACCACAUUACACCGCUUGACCUUCCGGUGGAGGUUCUCCAGGCGAUCGAUAGGUUGCGGCGAGCCUACCUUUGGGCCGGAACUGACAAGGUAACUGGUGGAAAUUGCAAAGUAAACUGGGCGCUCGUCUGCAGGCCAAAAGAAUUUGGAGGCCUUGGCAUUUUGCACCUUGGCAAGUUUGCCGCUGCCCUCCAGUUGCGAUGGCUUUGGGUCGACUGGGACGACCCACCACGUGCGUGGUGCGGUAUGGGGACACCUUGCACGGCCAAUGACCGUAACCUGUUUGCGGCUGCGACUAAGGUCACGAUUGGUGAUGGACAGAAGGCUUCCUUCUGGGAGUCGCCUUGGCUAGAGGGUUUUAGGCCAAAAGACAUUGCUCCAAGGACUUUUGAGAUUUCACGCAAGAAGGGGGCAUCUGUUGCCAUAGCCAUAAGGGAUGGGCACUGGAUAAACCAAAUUGAUUACCAUAACGGCCUCACGCUUGAGCACCUCCAACAAUUCUUGGCAUUAUGGGAGAAGCUUCUGAAUGUCAUCAUCCGACCUGGUGUCAAGGAUACCAUCCAUUGGAAAUUUACCAACGAUGGCCAGUACUCAGCUAGGUCUGCUUAUCGCGAUCCACGAGAUGGAGCCGUCGUCACCUCCUGUUCUUCAUCGGGAGGCCAGAUCUGGAGUCCAUUCGGGGCUCCGGAGAGGGGGAUCUUCAUUUUUCAUCAUCACCAACCCUUCUCUAUCGCCAAUUCCAUGACGCUCCCCACCGGGAGUGAGUAA